rnacentral:rRNA from 1 species
UACGUAGGGUGCAAGCGUUAAUCGGAAUUACUGGGCGUAAAGCGUGCGCAGGCGGUUAUGCAAGACAGAUGUGAAAUCCCCGGGCUCAACCUGGAACUGCAUUUGUGACUGCAUGGCUAGAGUACGGUAGAGGGGGAUGGAAUUCCGCGUGUAGCAGUGAAAUGCGUAGAUAUGCGGAGGAACACCGAUGGCGAAGGCAAUUCCCUGGACCUGUACUGACGCUCAUGCACGAAAGCGUGGGGAGCAAACAGG